UAGGAAGUAGUAUAGAGGGAGUACGGAGAGUUUUGGUCUCUUUGGUGUGGGUUCGAGUCCCAUUUUUCU
rnacentral:tRNA from 1 species